GAUGCAACGCGAAGAACCUUACCUGGUCUUGACAUAUCUAGAAUCCUGCAGAGAUGCGGGAGUGCCUUCGGGAAUUAGAAUACAGGUGCUGCAUGGCUGUCGUCAGCUCGUGUCGUGAGAUGUUGGGUUAAGUCCCGCAACGAGCGCAACCCUUGUCCUUAGUUACCAGCGGGUUAAGCCGGGAACUCUAAGGAUACUGCCAGUGACAAACUGGAGGAAGGCGGGGACGACGUCAAGUCAUCAUGGCCCUUACGACCAGGGCUACACACGUGCUACAAUGGUAGGUACAGAGGGCAGCUACACAGCGAUGUGAUGCGAAUCUCAAAAAGCCUAUCGUAGUCCAGAUUGGAGUCUGCAACUCGACUCCAUGAAGUAGGAAUCGCUAGUAAUCGCGGAUCAGAAUGCCGCGGUGAAUACGUUCCCGGGCCUUGUACACACCGCCCGUCACACCAUGGGAGUUGAUUGCACCAGAAGUGGAUAGCUUAACCUUCGGGGAGGCGUUCACCACGGUGUGGUUGAUGACUGGGGUGAAGUCGUAACAAGGUA
rnacentral:rRNA from 1 species